rnacentral:rRNA from 1 species
UACAGAGGGUGCGAGCGUUAAUCGGAUUUACUGGGCGUAAAGCGUGCGUAGGCGGCUAAUUGAGUCGGAUGUGAAAUCCCCGAGCUUAACUUGGGAAUUGCAUUCGAUACUGGUUAGCUAGAGUGUGGGAGAGGAUGGUAGAAUUCCAGGUGUAGCGGUGAAAUGCGUAGAGAUCUGGAGGAAUACCGAUGGCGAAGGCAGCCAUCUGGCCUAACACUGACGCUGAGGUACGAAAGCAUGGGGAG